rnacentral:rRNA from 1 species
CGCAAUGGGCGAAAGCCUGACGGAGCGACGUCGCGUGGAGGAGGAAGUACUUCGGUACGUAAACUCCUUUUGCCAGGGAAAAAGUUUAUUGAUUGUACCUGGAGAAUAAGAGGUUGCUAAACUCGUGCCAGCAGCAGCGGUAAUACGAGUGCCUCGAGCGUUAUCCGGAAUUAUUGGGCGUAAAGGGUGUGUAGGUGGUUAUGUUAGUCUCUUGUAAAAUUCCUCGGCUCAACCGAGGGCUCGCGAGAGAAACGGCAUGACUUGAGUAUGGAAGGGGUCUCUGGAACUCAUGGUGUAGCGGUGAAAUGCGUUGAUAUCAUGGGGAACACCAAAAGCGAAGGCAGGAGACUGGUCCAUUACUGACACUGAAACACGAAAGCGU